AGGUUAACACAAAACGAAGAGUUAUUAAAAAUAGCUGUCAAAAUUUUGUUAUUGUGAACGUCAGAAGAAUGUUUAGUUUUUCAAAUCAUAUUAAAUACUUUAAAAUAAUAGCGUAAGAAUAUGAAAAAAUUUAACAAUAUAACUGUCUCAAAACAGUAAUACUUAUGUGUAUAUAAUUCUAAGCUAUGGAUCGACUCGCAGGAACAACUACACCCUUUAGUGCUUGUAAACAUUACUACACGGCGUUAAUGCAUUACCUUAACAAGCAAAUACUUGAAAAAAUUGUACAGAGGAGUGCUUUUCAAAAACUAAGAAGGAAAUUAAUAUUGAAUACUAUAUGAAACUUCAUUGAAUAGUUGAACAUGCAUAUUGAGUGUAUUUAGUAAAUCCCAUCUAAUGAGUUUACAACUGUCAUCCAUUUCCAUCAAAAUGUUUUGACUACUGGAAUUUCAAAUAAAAGUUCACUGAUGUGAGGAAUUUUCCCAUAUUGGAAUUCAGGAUAAUGAAGAAGUGAUAUGUGUGUGAAAUAAUCAGUGACUUGAUUCAAAAUCGAAACUAAGUGAAGUAAAAGCCUUUAAUAGAAUACUAAAGAUGUUGUACAACCAAGUGCUGCUCAUAAAACUAAAGGCAGUUUACACUGAAUUGAUUCAUCAAUAUAUACUUGUCAAGACUGAAAUAUCUGAGUUCAUAAUUAGUUCGAAGCAAAUAUCAGUCACUGAUAUGAAGCUUUUCAUGAAUUUUAAACAAACUAAAUGAGAAUAAAAUAUUAUUUAAUUUCGUAACAGUAGGAGGACGAAUUGAGGUCAAGGAUUAAUAUACAAUGAGAAUGGGGAUUUUUGGAUAGUUCAAAUUGAUUUGAUAAAACAGAAUAUAUUUUUAUAUUGAAAUUCAAUUUUUAUAGUUGAUAAUUAAUUUCAAAAUUGUUUAUUGUAACUAUUUUAUCGAAAAAAAAAUCAAAUUAUAUUGAAUUUUUUAGAAGAUAUAAUUCAAAGAAAGAAUAACAUUAAGACAAAUAAUCUAGCUAAAUAAAACAGAGACAUAAAUUUAAAUUUUUUAUUUGUGCACACAGAUAUUAACAUAAAUUAAUAAAAUAAAUUAUGAUGAUUCUACUUUGAAUUGUACCUUUAUUUUAUCCAUGUUAUAACACACAAAAUUACAUUGCAAACGAUAAUCUAAAAUUAAAUUGCAUAUUAGUUAUUUUGAAAAUGUUUAAAACUAUAAUAAGAAAUAUUUUGAUGAAAAUGGGAGUUGAAAUUCCAUGAAAAUCGAUCUGAAACAAACAGAAAUAAAGGCAGUACAUUAAGUUAAGAAAUGAUGCUUCUACUUUCGUUAAAAACCUUAUUUUUAUUAAUAAAAGAAAAUUAUAAUUUAGGUCUGAAACAUAUGUCUAUUAAUUAUAUGUAUACACAGAUAAAAAAGAUGAUAAUUAUUGUCAAAUCAUAUUUUCUCUUAAUUUGUAUCUCAAGUAGUGAAAAAUUGACUAUUUCUUCAACACAAUUACGUAGAUACUUGAUAAGACAAUGAAGCAGCUUGAGUAGACAAAAGCUUACUUACAAGAUCUUCUUCGCAAUGUUUUGUUUGCAAAAGGAUCUGUAGGAUUUCGUUCUUUUUACAUUUAUUUUUAAAGUAUAUUAAACUCAACCCCGAAUUUGAUUUUAAUUUAAGAGUAACUGUUUUUCGACAAGAGAGGAAAGUAUCAGUUAAGUUGAUGUUAAAAAUUAUGUAUUCAAAUCCAGAAAGAAAAUAAUGCAAUUAUAAUUAUUACUUACGAUUUUUUGUACCUAAUUCUCUAGGAGAAAAGUGUGUUUGAUAUGUUUGAAAUAUGAAAGAAAAUGUAUGAACUUUGUUUAUUUACAAUAAAUAAAUAAAUAAACUUUGACAGCUCCA